rnacentral:lncRNA from 1 species
GAUAAAAGGGAAGCUUGGCGGGUGGGCGGGGGCCCCUCCUUGCCCACCCGGAUCGGGGCCACUCCCUCGUCUGUCCUGCACCCCUAAGCUGCGGGAGGUCUCGGCCGAUGGUCCCCCACGGCCUGCCCAAUGACACCCAACACUAGGAAGGCUAGUUUCCCCAUGCUCCCACCACAAGCCCCAGCCUGAUCAAUUCCUCCUGGAGUCCCCAACGCGGGCCUGGGACCCGGGCCUGGCUUUCCCAGGCGCCUUCCUGGCUGCGUCGAAGCUGGGCCUCGAGCAGGAACGAGGGUUACUCCCCGAAGUAGCGGAGCCAAGAAGAAGGUAGCUUGUGGGCAGGCCUCAGAGUAAAAUUCUGCUCAUUCUAUUAAUUCAGAAAACGUCUGUCCAGCAUGAACUUUGGGCCAGGCUUGUCCAACCAGCCGGGGCGGGUGUCCGAGGGCUUGUGGGUGCCCUCACCAAAUCAGGCCAGACUCCGAUAACCUGCUGGCCGAUCCCGAGCUCAUCGGAGGAUGAGAUUCGGGAAGAGUCAAGGACACCUGAAAAUCACAAAUGUUGUCCAACAUUUUGCUCUUGGAGGCUUUUCUCCACCCGCCUGGGGACGGACCCUCCCCUUUCAAUCCCAGUUUUUCUCACCUCCAUUCUGAGACCACCCCCCCACCACCCCCAGCAGACAAAGGCUGGGCCUGGCCCCAGAGAGGCCCCAUCCAGCCCAUGAUCCAAAAAGCUGGCUACCUUUCCCGUGCUUGCCAACACGCCCCCGCAGCCCUUCAAAAGAAAUCAGAGGGGAAGAAAAAAUAAACUUGGGAAAGUUGAAACUCCACUCGAUAAAGAAAGCCAAACAUUCCCGCUGAAAUUCCCCCAGAACCACGAGGCAGGGGACUUUUCUUUUCCUUUUCUGUAAAUCUCGUCCCCGAGUGAGCUCUCAGGGCCUGUGAUGCCCAGACACUGGUGCUCCGCUGUCCCAGCCAACGGGACCCUGGUCGGCCCUGAAAAUAAAUAUUUCAUAUAAAAGGUCCAUUGUCUUUGCUGGGAGACAAUUGUUGCUUUUUCUCCCUCCUAGGCUCCAUAACAUCGGAAAGCAUGGCCGAUGCCAUCUGGGCUUCUUUUCUUGUUCCAACAAGAUGUUCUGAGAAAGGGCACUCCUGCUGGGCCUUCCUGGAGGAUCAGCUAAGAGAGAAAAUUCUCCCCAAGCCAGCAUUUUGGUAAAUGUUCGCUGCGUGCACCAAGAACAAUCAGGCUGUCGGAGGUGAAAGCCUCCACCGAAGAGCCACCCUAUCGCCGACAGGGACGCUGGUGGCUGGUGUGGCUACUCUGGACCCCUGACGCGGGACAUCUUGCCUGGUUUUUCCUCCGAUCAGACCCCCGGGGCCAGCACCCAGGUGAGCUCCUCGAGUGCCCCUCUCGGGAGGGCUCCAUUCCUAGAAGGUGUCUCAGAAGGCACUUGAGCACGAACCUGGACCCUGGCGGAGGGGACGGAGGGGGGCUUGGGGGGGGGGACUCAGGGCAUCUCGGCUGAGUCCUCAGGACAAGGGAAGCCCCGGCUUUGCAAGUUCCUGACAGUCUGAAAACAUCAAGGUUUACCGUCGCUACCACCUGGGCGGGGGGAGUGGGGGGGAGGCGGCGGGAGAGGGGGGAGGUAAACCCACAGGUGUCCCUUCUAGUGAAACCCAAACUGCGUUCUCUGUUUCUUAGAAACUCGAAAAUAUAAGAACUAGCAAGAAAAAUGACGAUUACCAUUUUACAACAAAAACCACUACAACAAUGGCCACUUACGGCGUCCCCGGCACAUGCCAGGAACCGCGUUUGGUGCAAAGAGCGUCAUCUGACCUUGCCCAACGACCCUCUGAGGUCGCUGUGAAUAUGAUCCCUGCUCUAGAGCUUGGGGUACAGUCCCAGGAGGUGAUGUGACUUGUCCAGGGUCACACGGCCAGCCCCCAGGGCAGGGGCCGGAAUUGGAGCUGCCUGGCCGUGAACUUAACCCCCACGCCCAGCUUAGCGGGAUUUCUGCAACAUAUCCUCUGUCCUCCCCAAACAUGCCAAGACACCCUCCCAGCCCGAAAACCACCUAUCGUGAUAGUCUGAAGAUGUUUUCCUGCCUGGCCCCUGGGGGCUCCUUUCCCUUCUCGUGCACUGUCCUUCACUGGGGGCACAUGGCGGUUUCCCUGGGCACCAAGGAGCGCUCACCCAGGCUGGGUGCCCGUUGGGGUGGGCACAGCCCUCCGGCCCCUCCCCCCAGACCCCCCCCAAGCCUGUCUUCCCGUUGGGCCUUGUCCAUGCCACGCUGAGGAUAGGAACAAAUGAGACCGGAUCACAGUGUGGGCCCCGGUCAGGUGCAAACCAUAGGGACCCAAGCGUAACCCUGCUGCAGGGCUCCCCGCUGCUCCUGCUGAGCAAAGCAAAACGCCAUCUGCACCUGUUCAGGCGGCACGUGAGACCUGGCCAUGGUCGGAGCCUCGUCGCCGCCCUGCACGAGCUGAGCGGUCAGCCACCACCCCCAUCUCCCUGCGGAGACCUUGAGGCCAGGAUCCGGGGCAUCAAGUGGCCAGAGAAUGGGUGUGGCAGGGCCCCAAGGCAGGCCAGGGGCCACUCUGGGCUCGCCCUGAUUGCAAACAAAAACAGGAACACCAGGGCCAUCCUCCCGCCCGCCCGCCCGCCACAGCUCCUAAGACCCUGUCCCCUACUUGGCACAUUCCUUCUAUGAAAUCCAGCGAUAAAGAACAGAAGGGCACCAGUUUCAUUUUCAGAACCUCGCUCUUGUGUGCAGCUCCUCAAAAAUAAAUUCAGCCCAGACGAGAGCUCCCAACACAAGCAGAAGCCCCUGGCCGGACCCACGUCCCCAUGGGGAGUCUCUAGUAGAACUGGGCUGCUCUCAGGACAGGGACAAAGGCAGGACAGGGCAGCCUGGUGCCAAGGCAGGGCCUCUCUCGGUGCGGCCAGCUCCACUGUUUGCAGUGGACGCUCAGCGCCAUCACAGACCCGGUGGGGCAGGGCACGGGGGGCGGGGGGGGGGCAGGAGAGGGGCCUCCGGAGCCGUGGCAAAUAGCAGCCCCCGCUAAGUGGCCCUGGGGGUGGGGAAGGCCUCCUCGGAUGCUCAGGCCUUUCCCAGCUCCCAGUGUCUGGCCGGUAGGCCCGUGGAGAGGGUGUAAGCCAUGCCCCUUGUUUCGGGGUGAAUCGUGGGGAGCUCCACCAGUCUGAGCAGGAUGCCACACCAUCCCUGCCUGUGGUGCCAUACGUCACAGGUCACCUGUGGACCCGGGAAAACGUCUCCUGCAUUUUACAGGCAAGGCCCUGGCGGAACUUGGGCUUUUGAAAAUGACUCACCCCGUCACGGCCGAUGCCACGGCAAGCAGCGGCUCCCGGCUGGAGCGGCGCCCCUUCGGCAGCUGCGCCCCCGCUUCCGAGAUCACUCCUGAAUGUCCCACCCCGGGGGUUUCAUGUCUGCUCACUGCCUCUGAUAAAGUCAUAACUACAAAUCCCAAACGGGGGACAGGGGAGGGGGGGGGUGUGCGUGUGUGUGAUGGCCUCGCAAAAAAUACGGCGAGGAACGCAUGACCGGAGGAAGCCAACUUUGAGCCUCCGGGUGGGGGCCGGUGGGCAAAGACCUCAUCGGAAUGGUCUCCUGCUUCCUCUGGCUUCUGGCCCCAGAUCUGGAAACCCGGGGAAAGGGAGGCUUGAGGCAGGCCUGGGCGACUCGGGCCUCUGUCCACGUUCCCGGAAACACAGCCUCCAAGUGCCAGCUCACAGCUCUGGGGUGUUAUGGAAACAGGCUCCCCUCCCCAUUAUUUUGUGGUCAAAGCACGCAGCAAGGUUAUCCAAACCACAUCAAUACGAUGAGGGAGCGGAAAGGGGAAAUCACACCUGCGAGACGGUCAUAUUAAAAAGCGGGCUUAAUCCCCUCCUGUUACGGGUUUCAUUUUAACAGGACAGGUACACGCAGGUUCAAACAUGCAUUUUAAAAUCCCCAAUAACUAGAACCAACGAACUAAAAUAAAACGAACACAGUGCUGGCCUACAGAGACCACCAUGGCCUCUGAAACCCAACUUUGAAGAAAUUAAUUUCAGUGUUACCUUAAAACCCUGUAAUUACGGCAAACGUGCAUUCCUUCACCCCUUUCUUGCUCCCCACAAAUUCCCCAGGGCUGCCGGCUGGGCCCGUGUGUCAGCCACCUAUAAAGGGGAAUUUAUUAUGAAAAGUUAUGAGAUGUCUUUCAUUUUAUGCCACCAUAAACAACCGCUUCCACAUUCGGAGCUUUAUGCCACCAGCCCGAAAGGCCGAAGCUGGACCCAGGGCUGCCCGAAGCCAGCUCUCCAUAAACGCCUGACCAGCAAG